UGGGAUAGCUCAGUCGGUAGAACACGAGACUCUUAAUCUCAGGGUUGUGAGUUUGAGCCCCACAAUGGGAAAAA